rnacentral:rRNA from 1 species
AGCGAACGCUGGCGGCAGGCUUAACACAUGCAAGUCGAACGGGCACUUCGGUGCUAGUGGCAGACGGGUGAGUAACGCGUGGGAAUGUGCCUUUCGGUUCGGAAUAAUUCAGGGAAACUUGGACUAAUACCGGAUACGCCCUUCGGGGGAAAGAUUUAUCGCCGAAAGAUCGGCCCGCGUCUGAUUAGCUAGUUGGUGAGAUAAAGGCUCACCAGGGCGACGAUCAGUAGCUGGUCUGAGAGGAUGAUCAGCCACAUUGGGACUGAGACACGGCCCAAACUCCUACGGGAGGCAGCAGUGGGGAAUAUUGGACAAUGGGCGCAAGCCUGAUCCAGCCAUGCCGCGUGAGUGAUGAAGGCCUUAGGGUUGUAAAGCUCUUUUGUCCGGGAAGAUAAUGACUGUACCGGAAGAAUAAGCCCCGGCUAACUUCGUGCCAGCCGCCGCUGUAACAC